rnacentral:rRNA from 1 species
GGUUGAUCCUGCCAGUGGUCAUAUGCUUGUCUCAAAGAUUAAGCCAUGCAUGUCUAAGCAUGAACUAAACUAAAGUGAAGCCGCGAAUAGCUCAUUACAACAGCCGUUGUUUCUUGGAUCUCCGCUAUACUUGGAUAACUGUGGUAAUUCUAGAGCUAAUACACGCAAUCGAGCUCCGACCGUAAGGGACGAGCGCAUUUAUUAGAACAAAACCAAACAGUACUUGUACUGUGGUUUGGUGAAUCUGAAUAACUGAGCAGAUCGCUUCGGUCUCGUACCGGCGACGUAUCCUUCAAGUGUCUGCCUUAUCAACUUUCGAUGGUAGUUUAUGUGCCUACCAUGGUUGUAACGGGUAACGGAGAAUUAGGGUUCGACUCCGGAGAGGGAGCCUGAGAAACGGCUACCACUUCUAAGGAAGGCAGCAGGCGCGCAAAUUACCCACUCUCGGCACGAGGAGGUAGUGACGAAAAAUAACGAGACGGUUCUCUUAUGAGUACCGUCAUCGGAAUGAGAACAAUCUAAAUCCUUUAACGAGGACCUAGCGGAGGGCAAGUCUGGUGCCAGCAGCCGCGGUAAUUCCAGCUCCGCCAGUGUAUAUCUAUGCUGCUGCGGUUAAAAAGCUCGUAGUUGGAUCUGCGUGCUUGAAGCCGGUCCGCCUUCUAGGCGAGUACUGGACUUCAGCACUGAAUCGUUGGCUUUCCUCUGAUGCCUUUAACCGGGUGUCAUGGGUGACUAACAUGUUUACUUUGAACAAAUUAGAGUGCUUAAAACAGGCGUUUAGCUUGAAUAUUCGUGCAUGGAAUAAUAGAAUAGGACCUUGGUUCUAUUUUGUUGGUUUUCGGAACACAAGGUAAUGAUUAAGAGGGACAGACGGGGGCAUUCAUAUUGCGACGUUAGAGGUGAAAUUCUUGGAUCGUCGCAAGAUGACCUACUGCGAAAGCAUUUGCCAAGAAUGUUUUCAUUAAUCAAGAACGAAAGUUAGAGGUUCGAAGGCGAUCAGAUACCGCCCUAGUUCUAACCGUAAACGAUGCCAACUAGCGAUCUACUGGUGUUAUUUUAGACCCAGUAGGGAGCUUCCCGGAAACGAAAGUGUUCCGGUUCCGGGGGAAGUAUGGUUGCAAAGCUGAAACUUAAAGGAAUUGACGGAAGGGCACCACCAGGAGUGGAGCCUGCGGCUUAAUUUGACCCAACACGGGAAAACUCACCCGGCCCGGACACCGUAAGGAUUGACAGAUUGAGAGCUCUUUCUUGAUUCGGUGGGUGGUGGUGCAUGGCCGUUCUUAGUUGGCGGAGUGAUUUGUCUGGUUUAUUCCGAUAACGAACGAGACUCCAACCUACUAACUAGUGGGCAGAUCUUCGUGUCUGCAACACUUCUUAGAGGGAC